UGGAGAAUAUUUUUUUUGCCCUUACUAUUGCAGCCUUUACUGUGGCUGUAAAAUGCGAUGGAAAUAGUACAUUUCCUGAUUUCCCUGAGAAGGCGCCGGAUAUCACAAAGUUCUACACUGCAAAUGCGACAAUAUUGACUAUGCGGACAACAAAGAGAAUGCUAACAUGCAAAGUCGAUAAGGUUGCUAAUGCAACUAACACUUCCGUUUUCUUUGAGAGAAGUUAUUGCUUAGGGGAGAAAUGGGUCAACAAGACGUUGGAGGGGACAUUCACAAGUGUGAGCCUGUUUGCUAAUGGUACCUUAGACGCAAUGAUCGUCCACCCUCCAGG